rnacentral:rRNA from 1 species
AUGAACGCUGGCGGCGUGCCUAAUACAUGCAAGUCGAGCGAACAGACGAGGAGCUUGCUCCUCUGACGUUAGCGGCGGACGGGUGAGUAACACGUGGAUAACCUACCUAUAAGACUGGGAUAACUUCGGGAAACCGGAGCUAAUACCGGAUAAUAUAUUGAACCGCAUGGUUCAAUAGUGAAAGACGGGUUUGCUGUCACUUAUAGAUGGAUCCGCGCCGCAUUAGCUAGUUGGUAAGGUAACGGCUUACCAAGGCAAAGAUGCGUAGCCGACCUGAGAGGGUGAUCGGCCACACUGGAACUGAGACACGGUCCAGACUCCUACGGGAGGCAGCAGUAGGGUAUCUUCCGCAAUGGGCGAAAGCCUGACGGAGCAACGCCGCGUGAGUGAUGAAGGUCUUCGGAUCGUAAAACUCUGUUAUUAGGGAAGAACAAAUGUGUAAGUAACUAUGCACGUCUUGACGGUACCUAAUCAGAAAGCCACGGCUAACUACGUG